rnacentral:rRNA from 1 species
GCCUAACGGCUGAACUGGCAACUUGGAGAAGUGGCAAGUCCUAUUUUGAUCAUAUCUUUGAGUAUGAUCUAUAGGAUUGUAUUAAAAUUGAAUAAAGCUUUGUUUAUAUAUUGAUAAUGACAGUAUAUAUAUCGUGUCUUGACUAAUUGCGUGCCAGCAGUCGCGGUAAUACGUAAGAGACUAGUGUUAUUCAUCUUAAUUAGGUUUAAAGGGUACCUAGACGGUCAAUAUAGCUUCUAAAAUGUUAGUACUUGACUAGAGUUUUAUGUAAGAGGGCAGUACUUGAGGAGGAGAGAUGAAAUUCUAUGAUACCAAAGGGACUCGGUAAAGGCGAAGGCAGCCCUCUAUGUGAAAACUGACGUUAAAGGACGAAGGCACAGAGCACAAACAGGAUUAGAUACCCAAGUAGUCUUUGCAGUAAAUGAUGAAUGCCAUAGGUUAGAUUAAGAUUUAAUAUUAUAAUUUAAAAUUAAAUAUUAAACAUUAUUUAGUCUAUAAAUGAAAGUGUAAGCAUUUCACCUCAAGAGUAAUGUGGCAACGCAGGAACUGAAAUCACUAGACCGUUUCUGACACCAGUAGUGAAGUAU